rnacentral:rRNA from 1 species
UACGGAGGGGACUAGCGUUGUUCGGAAUUACUGGGCGUAAAGCGCACGUAGGCGGAUUUGUAAGUCAGGGGUGAAAUCCCGAGGCUCAACCUCGGAACUGCCUUUGAUACUGCAAAUCUCGAGUCCGGAAGAGGUGAGUGGAAUUCCCAGUGUAGAGGUGAAAUUCGUAGAUAUUAGGAAGAACACCAGUGGCGAAGGCGGCUCACUGGUCCGGUACUGACGCUGAGGUGCGAAAGCGUGGGGGGCAAACAGG